rnacentral:ncRNA from 2 species
GCCCCGCAUGAUCGCGCCGGUGCCCCUCGGGGCUUGAAUGGGAACAUGGUGAGGCGGCUUCGUUCAGAGGCCGGCAAAUCCAGGGCUGUCCCUGCAACUGUAAGCGGUGAGCGCGAUGCACGGGUUUCCGGAACGAUCCGGGACGGCCACUGGGGAAACCUGGGAAGGUGUGCAUCGCGCGACGACCCGUGAGCCAGGAGACCUGCCGGCGUGGGUCGCUCAUU